CGAAGAGUAUUUCUCAAUAACGGUUAGAAUCUAUAAUUUAAACAAGUAAACAAGGAUAACCUUAAUAUCAGUAAAUAACUAUUUCAUAUAUAACGCCAUGAUCAUAAUGAAUACAUACAGUACCGAUGGAUUACAUUCAAUCCCAACAAGAAAGAGAUUUAGAUACUCAUGAUAACUUUGAUUACAAAUGAGAAGAAAUAAAUAUGGAUGAGCAUCAAUGGUAUUUUCUCGACGAUUGAUGCAUAUCCAACUCGUAUUCUUCAAGUUCUCCUCUUUUCCAUGUCUCUCUCUUUCUAAUAUUGUAUUUUUCUAAAAUUAUCCAAGAGUCAUUUGAAUGAAAUGUCUCUGAAACUAUAUAUAAUGGUUCUUUCCCGCUUCUCUCACCCGAUGAGUUAUUGCCUCGCCUGCUAAACAACCUUUCUUCACUCUUAAGUAUCUGCCAAAUCAGCAUCUCAAACCUCCUUGUCUUUCCUGACGAGAUUCCUCUCCGCAACCUCGUCUGAAGAGAAUGAAACAUUUUGAUUAUGUAAAGUCUCUAACUUGUCUCGUCUGGUGCUCAUUGUUGCUUCGGUGGGCAAGAUGACUCACUUGAGGCUCGCCUGACGAGAAGGGUGAUUUUUUCUUUUGUUUCUCCACGCCUGAGCCUCACUGUUGGCUUGUGGGGCUAGCUUUCGCAUGGGCCUCGCUAGAUGCUCGUCUGGCGAACAUGCAUGAUCUUUUCUUUCUUACUUUGUGCUUCAAUCUUGGUUAAUUGUUGAAAUUCCUGCACAAAAUAACAAAGAAAUCACAAAGCACAACACUUAUAUGUUUCAAACUUAAUUCUAUUCACAAUUUCAAUGAUAGCGAACGGUAAUUCGAGUCAAUAAAUGCCAAGAUUUAAUAUGGUCAAAUACCAUAUUUUGGCACUUAUCACUUGUCUCCCCAUACCAUAAAGGUUUCAUUCCAGACAAGCUCAGCUAGAGAGUUCUAUUAGAAACAUAAAUGAGACCAAUGAUAAAUCGAGUAGAAUUUGGAAAAUUCAAGCAGAUGAGAGAGUCAGAAUGUUAUAUAUGGAUGAUGCAUCAUGAAGACCUAAAGACGAACCAACUGCUACAUCAUAUGCAGUUAAGUCAUCCUUACAUGCUCUUUAGGAUUGCCCUUAUGCUAGACAAGCUUGGGUAGCUUUGGUUAAGGAAAAUCAUUGGAACUUAUUCUUUAAUUCUAACUUGUAGGAUUGGAUCAACCUUAAUUUGGAACAUGGCCUAGAACAUGGAGAACAAGAUUGGACAACAUUAUGUCAUGCCAUACGAACAAGUUCUAGAGAAAUUAGAAGGAAAAUGUUGAAGCUUAUGUGUUGCCUACUAAUCUAAGUUUAGCCAUCGAGUUAGCAUAUAUAUCAUGAAGCAAAUAAGUAUGUGGACCUCUUGGCAAGUAUGAGAGCGAAUAAUGUUAAAGAUAUCCAGUUGUAUGGUAGUAAUUUGUAGUUUCUUUCUUUCUGGGUUUAAGCCCUUUGUAAUUAAAAAGAAAAAAUCACCCUUAUAAUUUAAAACAGAAAGAGUAUUAAAAUAAUUAAUUCUCAUUAAAAGAAAUGAUGUGGAGCACAUAACUCUAAUCACUUCUUUUAAAUAUCUAGGUUGUUACGAUUCGGACCGACCACGUAUUAUAGACCAUUAAAAGUAACCUUAAAAUCAAGUUACAAAUCA
rnacentral:lncRNA from 1 species